UCGUCAGGGGAAAAUAAAUUGUUAAAGUUCUAUUGGGACACCCUGUACAGUCGCAGUCUUGUGAUCCCGUAUGAUACACAUUUCAGUCUAACGCCCCGAAGGACGUACAUAUCAGUCUGACGCCCCGAGGGACGUACAUAUCAGUCAAGUGUUCUGCAGAACACAUAUAGUCAAAUGCUCCCGAAGGUGCAAAAUAAAUUGGUGAUCCCGUGGGACACCUACAAGGUAAUCAUCCCAAUACAACCUAACAAUCUAUCCCCUCAUUCCAUUCAACCAUCCUUCAGAUACUUCAAAACAUAGAGUUCUUUCUCUCAACGUCCUAACAGUCAACUUAUCUCACUUAGGUCAUAUGUCUGUCAAUAACAUACUAAUACAUCAGUCAAUCAAACUAUACAGUCAAUACACCCCUCAGAUCACCAGCACACAGUCAUACUUUAGCGUAACGACACCCAAUCUAAACGACAAUCACAAGAUCGCAUCUGCAUCUCAUACAAGCAUAAUCUACAAUUUUCGUCCUGUCCACAUCCACACACAUAUAUAUAUAUUCCAUGACAAUCACAAUAUGCAUUCCACAUUAAGUCUACUUCAAUUCCUAUGCAUAUGUAUAUAUAUUUUCAGUCAAUCCACAGUGUACAUUCAGCACCGAAUCUACACCCAUACGUGUGUAAACAUAAGUAUCAUCUCAACAUCUUUACUCAGUCAAAGAUAAUCAUUCAGACAUGCAAUUCACAAUCAUAAGUGAGUCCAGUAGAAAAUCCCUUACCUUCAAAUUUGUUAAGCUCCUUAACCACGUUAAGUCUAUGAAGAACGAACCUAAACAUUAAGACAAUUUCUCAAUAAUUCCCUUCAACGCAUCAGUCAUUUAAUUUCAACCCAAUGUGAAUCUUUUUGCAACUUACCCAAAUCUUCACGAAAGAAAUCGAGCAGUGGCUUUGCGAAGAGAUGACGUGCGACGGAGAGACCGUAUACAGAUGGCCGGAGAGUCGCGCGGCAGUGCAGACGACGGAGGAGAAGGAAUCGGCGGCGGCUGGGCUGAAAACAGAGGAGAAAGGAGAGGGGAGACAGCGGCGGUUACAGGUUCACGCGGCGGCCUUGCUUCGCGAACAGAGAUGGCGGCCGACGGUUGCAGCGACGGAAGAGCAACGGCGCCGCAGAUCUGGACUGGCAGCGGCGCAGUCUUGCUUCGCGGUGGGCUGCGGACGGAAGAAGAAAAUGGAAAGAAAGGAUCGGCGGCUAGCUGCGGACGGGAAGAAGAAGAUAGAGGUGUGGUUGCGGCUGGGCUGCGGUUGGCUGCGGCGGGACGGGAAGAAGAAGAUAGAGGCGGCGGCGUGGAGCGGAGAAGAAAAGAGGAAGAAAAAGAAGAAAGAAAAGAGAAAGGAAAAGAGAAGAGAACGGGGGGGGGGCUGUGCAGCGCGCGAGAGAGAGAGAGAGAGAAAUUUCUUUCUUUUCUUUUUUUAUUUAUUUAUAAUUAAAUAAAUAAAUAUAUAUAUAUAUAUAUAUAUAAAAUAAAAACAAAAUAUAUAUAUAUAUAUAUACCUUUGGGCAUUACAUUCUUCCCUCCUUAAGAAACUUUCGUCCUCGAAAGUUUUAAUCCUGAAAUAACUCUGGAUAACGAGUCCUCAUCUCUUCCUCUCGCUCCCAUGUCGCCUCUUCAAUUCGAUGAUUCCGCCACAAAACCUUUACUAAUGGAAUGCUUCUAUUACGAAGCAUCUUUACCUCUCUAGCCAGAAUCUCCACAGGUUGUUCUACAUAGCUCAAAUGCUCAUCAAUCUCCAAGGGUUCAUAGUCCACUACAUGAGACGUAUCGGCCACAUACUUCCUCAACAUCGAAACAUGAAAACAUUAUGAACUGCAGAGAGAGAUGGUGGUAAUGCCAAGCGAUACGCCACAACACCAACCCUCUCUAAGAUCUCAAAUGGUCCAACAAAACGAGGACUUAACUUUCCUUUCUUCUCAAAACGCAUAACACCCUUCAUAGGUGCUACCUUCAAGAAUACCUUUUCUCCCACAUCGAACUUAAGGUCUUUUCGCCGUACAUCGCAUAACUCUUCUGUCUACUCUGCGCUGUUUGCAUACGUGCUCUAAUCUUUUGAAUAGCCUCAUUAGUAGACCGAACUAAUUCAGGUCCCAUCAAUCUAUGUUCACCAACCUCACUCCAACAAACAGGGGUUCUACAACAUUUGCCAUACAAAGCCUCAAAUGGUGCCAUACCGAUGGUAGCCUGGAAACUGUUGUUAUAAGCAAACUCCAUCAAAUGUAGAUGAGAGUCCCAACUACCUGGAAACUCUAUAACACAAGCUCGUAGCAUAUCCUCUAAAACUUGGUUCAAACGUUCAGUUUGACCAUCAGUCUGUGGAUGAAAGGCUGUACUGAAAUCCAAUCUCGUACCCAUAGCAGUCUGAAGUCCCUUCCAAAACUUGGAAGUAAACCGUGCAUCCCUAUCAGAAACAAUCGAUACAGGCACUCCAUGCAGUCUCACAAUCUCAGUUAAAUACAACUCUGCCCACUUACUAGCAGUAUAAGUGGAUUUUCCUGGUACAAAAUGUGCCGAUUUCGUAAGCCUGUCUAUGACAACCAGAAUCACUGUGAAACCCUUCAGGGUCUUAGGCAGCCCUGAAAUAAAAUCCAUCGACACAUUCUCCCACUUCCACUCUGGCACACUUAAAGGUUGUAAAAACCUGCUGGUUUCUGUCUAGGUGCCUUAACUUGCUGACAUACUAGACACUUACUAACAAAUUCCGCCACUUCUUUUCAUAUUCCGCCACCAAUAAAAUCGUUUUAGAUCCUGAUACAUUUUCGUGCUACCAGGAUGCAUGGAAAAUGGGGAAUUAUGGGCUUCAUCUAGUAAGUCAAUCUUAACUGUACUGUUCGCUGGCACACAUAAACGUCUCUCAAACAUCAACCCACCAUCAGAGGAUAUGGAGAACUCAUCAGUCUGCCCUGUUUCAACAAGGCGACGUCUCUCCAUCAAAUAAGGAUCAUUACUCUGAGCAUCAACAAUCUUGUGCCUCAGAGUCGGUUGCACCGUUAAUUGAGCUAGCUGUGAGGUGACUCUCCCCACAGACACUGCAAUCUCAGCUCUCUCCAAGUCUCGAUGCAAUGGUACCUGUCUAGUAAUGAGUGCUGCCGAAUGUGAUACUUUUCUACUAAGAGCAUCAGCCACCACAUUCGCCUUACCAGGAUGGUAUAAUAUCUCACAGUCAUAAUCUUUUACCAACUCGAGCCACCUUCGCUGUCUCAUAUUCAACUCCUUCUGAGUGAAGAAGUACUUUAGGCUCUUAUGGUCAGUAAAGAUUUGUAUCUUUUCACCGUACAAGUAAUGUCUCCAUAUCUUCAAUGCAAAAACCACUGCUGCCAACUCCAAAUCAUGUGUGGGGUAGUUCUGCUCGUGACUCUUCAACUGACGAGAGGCAUAAGCAACCACCUUACCUUUCUGCAUCAAAACACAACCCAGUCCUUUCUUGGAAGCAUCACUGUAAAUCACAAAACUUCCAGAUCCAUCUGGUACAGUAAGGACCGGUGCAGUAACUAACCUUUGCUUAAGGUUCUGAAAACUAUCCUCACAAGCUGGACUCCAAACAAACGGAGUUCCCUUCCUUGUCAACUGAGUCAAAGGAGUAGCCAAACGUGAAAAAUCCUCCACAAACCUCCGGUAGUACCCUGCUAAACCCAGAAAACUACGAACCUCACAACUGUGGAGGGUCGAGACCAACUGGUAACCGCUUCUAUCUUUGCAGGGUCUACUGAAACUCCCUCACUGGAAACCACAUGACCAAGAAAAGCCACCUGCUUCAACCAAAAUUCGCACUUCGAGAACUUAGCAUACAGUUUAUUGCUCGAAGAGUCUCUAAUACCUUAUGUAAUGUUCCUCAUGUUCGACUUCAGUCUUGGAAUAAACCAAAAUAUCAUCAAUGAAGACUAUCACAAAAGUGUCCAAGAAAUCCUUAAACACCCUGUUCAUCAAAUCCAUAAAUACAGCAGGUGCAUUAGUCAAACCAAAAGACAUCACUAUGAAUUCAUAAUGUCCAUACCUCGAACGAAAGCAGUCUUAGGAAUAUCACGGUCUCUAAUCCUCAACUGGUGAUAACCUGACCGUAAGUCAAUCUUAGAGAACACCGUGGCUCCCUGUAACUGAUCGAACAAAUCAUCGAUUCUGGGUAAAGGAUACCUGUUCUUGACUGUUACUUUAUUCAACUCUCUAUAGUCAAUGCAAAGACGCAUCGACCCAUCCUUCUUCUUCACAAACAAUACUGGUGCACCCCAAGGUGACACACUAGGUCGAAUAAAGCCUUUGUCAAGCAAUUCCUGUAACUGUACCUUCAGUUCUUUCAACUCAGCAGGAGCCAUCCUAUAAGGGGCUCUAGAAAUAGGAGUAGUGUUUGGCUCCAACUCAAUGCAAAAUCAACCUCUCUAUGUGGCGGCAGUCCUGGAAGAUCUUUUGGAAAUACAUCUGGGUUUCUUUACCACAGGUUUGAAGUUAAAGAAGUCUCACCUUCCCUAGUAUCCACCACACUUGCCAAAAUACUCCAAGUACCCUGGCUGAGUAGUUUACUAGCUUUCAUAGCUGAGAUUACUUUAGGCAGUACUACUGUUCCUACUCCCUUGAAUUUAAAGCUAGAUGCAGUAGGGGGACUAAACACAACUUCCUUACGAGAACAAUCAAUACUAGCAUGAUUAGUAGCUAGCCAAUCCAUCUAAAAUUACAUCAAAGUCACGCAUAUCUAAUACCAACAAGGUUACGUCCAGUACACGACCAGCUAUUUCAAUUUCACAUGCUUUAAUCUUUUCCUUAGACAACAUAAUUUCUCCAGACGGUGUAGACACUGACAAAACAUAGUCUAAGGGUUCCACUUCUAAGCAUGCAUGCGUCAAAAAAGCGAUGAAAUAAAUGAAUGAGAAGAUCCCGAGUCAAACAAGGUCAAGGCAAAUGCCCAAUACUGGUAACGUACCUGUCACUACUGUGCCGGCCUUCUCUGCCUCUGAUCUAUUAGUGGCAAAGAUUGUACCCCGCUGUGGAGGUCUCUCUCCUGACUGCUCGAUCCAGCCCAGUAGAUCUCAAGGACACCUAUCAGCCAUGUGUCCCUCUUGCUUGCACUUAUAACAGACUCUCGUUCCCAUCAAACAACGACCCAGGUGGCGUUUCCCACACGUAUCAUACUGGCCUCUCUUGAGUAGUGUCUCCUGCACCGCCAGAACUCUGCUGGAAACUGCGAAAAGAAUCACCUGGUCUCAUGUUCCUCUGAGGAACUCCUACAGUUCUCUGCUCUACUUUUCUCUUUUGACCCGACGACGAUCCCUUAUUAAAGCUCCUUGGCUGUCUUUCAUCCUUCCCAAUACUCAUAUCCACUGCCAGACGCAGUGCUUCAGCUUGGGUAGUGGGCUUUAGUGCUCGCACAAAACCCCUAAUUUCAUCUCUCAAUCCCUUGACGAACCUAUCAGCUCUAGCCUGCUCAUUACUAACAAGCUCAGGGCAAAACGUGACAGCAUAUCAAACUCCUGGUCGUACUCCUCGACUGUCAUAUAUCCUUGCUUCAACUCCAAGAAUUCCUGGCUUUUGGCGUCUCUAAGGUUAGCCGAGAAAAACUUGGUAUAGAAGCAGUCCUUAAACUGAUCCCAGGUAAUCUGCCUCACAUCUCCACCUAGCAUGCGCAUGUCCUCCACCAGAUAAUGCCUCUGUCCCUCAGUAGAAAAGCAGCACACUGAACUCUAUGCUCCUCAGGACAUCUCAUGUAAUUAAAUAUGGUUUCCACAGAGGACAACCACAUUUCAGCUUUGUAGGAUCCUCCAGUGACCCAUCAAACGUCUGAGGUCAUACUUCCGAAAGUCCCUCAAAUGUUUCGCUCAGCAGAAAGUUGGUUAGGUAAUUCUUGUGCAGGAGGGGCUGCUGGUGCAGGGGGAACUACAGGUGCAGGUGGGACUGCAGGUGCCUGCUGGUUUUGAGCUAUGCUGUCAUAAGUUCUGUAAACCUCUGCUCCAUGUGAGCAGACAGUGCAUCAAACUCGACGUGAGUCACGGGUGCAGCAGGAAUUCGAUGUUCAGCUUGACCCUCAGUAGGCUGAUUACGACCUACUCCUCUACCUCGGCCUCCUGCUCCUCUACCUCGGCCUCUACGACCUCCUCUACGUACUUCCUUUAAUUUCCUAUUAUCCACCAACAACACUCUUUAACAAAAUCUUAAUCAUAACAUAAGCAAGUCUUUAUCGUCAUGCAAUCUAGUUUAAUUUAGGCAAGGUCAUAUACAUAAACCAUACAUAUAAGCAUAAAGCAUACCUGACGAGAGACGAAGGGUCGCGUUUGCCAUAGGAACACAAAAACAUAGACUUACAUCGUAAGUCAGUCUACAGAACCUAAACUUAGGCUCUGAUACCAACUGUAACGACCCAACUUUUCUAAGUAAGUCGAGAUCGUUAGUUUUUAACAAAUAAAAGACUCUGAUUAAUAUAAAACAAAACGUAAGCAAUUUAAAAAAAAAACAUCUUCAAGUCAGGCCUGAUUUUUAAACAUUCAAGAAAGUAUAAAAUAAUACUGUUUACAACAAACGUUUGUAAACUAAAUUUCAAAUCAAUCUUAAAUAAGCGGAAGCAAUUACACGUUUCCUAUGGCAUCACGCUUCCUUCCUGCCCCUCGCCGGUUUGCCGCCUUUAUUACCUUUGCCUGAAAAUCAAACAUAAGAAGGGUGAGUAUUUUAAAUACUCAGUAAGAGACCCUCUACUGGUCUCGUCAGGGGAAAAUAAAUUGUUAAAGUUCUAUUGGGACACCCUGUACAGUCGCAGUCUUGUGAUCCCGUAUGAUACACAUUUCAGUCUAACGCCCGAAGGACGUACAUAUCAGUCUGACGCCCCGAGGGACGUACAUAUCAGUCAAGUGUUCUGCAGAACACAUAUCAGUCAAAUGCUCCGAAGGUGCAAAAUAAAUUGGUGAUCCCGUGGGACACCUACAAGGUAAUCAUCCCAAUACAACCUAACAAUCUAUCCCCUCAUUCCAUUCAACC
rnacentral:lncRNA from 1 species